CCUACGGGAGGCAGCAGUGGGGAAUAUUGCACAAUGGGCGAAACCCUGAUGCAGUGACGCCGCGUGAGUGAUGAAGUAUUUCGGUAUGUAAAGCUCUAUCAGCAGGGAAGAAGAAAGACGGUACCUUGCUAAGACGCCCCGGCUAACUACGUGCCAACAGCCGCGGUAAUACGGAGGGGGCAAGCGUUAUCCGGAUUUACUGGGUGUAAAGGGAGCGUAGACGGGUGUGCAAGUCUGCAGUGAAAGCCCAGGGCUCAACCGUGGGACUGCUUUGGAAACUGUGGAUCUAGAGUGCUGGAGAGGUAAGUGGAAUUCCUAGUGUAGCGGUGAAAUGCGUAGAUAUUAGGAGGAACACCAGUGGCGAAGGCGGCUUACUGGACAGUAACUGACGUUGAGGCUCGAAAGCGUGGGGAGCAAACAGGAUUAGAUACCCGGGUAGUC
rnacentral:rRNA from 1 species